rnacentral:tRNA from 1 species
GAGGUUAUAGCUCAAGUGGUAGAGUACAUGCUUAGCAUGCAGGAGGUCCUGGGUUCAAUCCCCAGUACCUCCU